rnacentral:rRNA from 1 species
CUUUAUUGGAGAGUUUGAUCCUGGCUCAGGACGAACGCUGGCGGCGUGCCUAAUACAUGCAAGUCGAGCGGACUUGAUGGAGAGCUUGCUCUCCGGAUAGUUAGCGGCGGACGGGUGAGUAACACGUAGGUAACCUGCCUGUAAGACUGGGAUAACUACCGGAAACGGUAGCUAAUACCGGAUAAUUUAUUUCUUCGCAUGGAGAGAUAAUGAAAGACGGUUCUGAUCUAAUCAGGGCUGUCACUUACGGAUGGGCCUGCGGCGCAUUAGCUAGUUGGUGGGGUAACGGCUCACCAAGGCGACGAUGCGUAG